rnacentral:rRNA from 1 species
UGGGGAAUAUUGGACAAUGGGCGCAAGCCUGAUCCAGCCAUGCCGCGUGAGUGAUGAAGGCCCUAGGGUUGUAAAGCUCUUUCACCGGUGAAGAUAAUGACGGUAACCGGAGAAGAAGCCCCGGCUAACUUCGAGCCAGCAGCCGCGGUAAUACGAAGGGGGCUAGCGUUGUUCGGAUUUACUGGGCGUAAAGCGCACGUAGGCGGACUUUUAAGUCAGGGGUGAAAUCCCGGGGCUCAACCCCGGAACUGCCUUUGAUACUGGAAGUCUUGAGUAUGGUAGAGGUGAGUGGAAUUCCGAGUGUAGAGGUGAAAUUCGUAGAUAUUCGGAGGAACACCAGUGGCGAAGGCGGCUCACUGGACCAUUACUGACGCUGAGGUGCGAAAGCGUGGGGAGCAAACAGG